rnacentral:rRNA from 1 species
UCCGUAGGUGAACCUGCGGAGGGAUCAUUACUGAGUUACCGCUCUAUAACCCUUUGUGAACAUACCUAACCGUUGCUUCGGCGGGCAGGGGAAGCCUCUCGCGGGCCUCCCCUCCCGGCGCCGGCCCCACCACGGGGACGGGGCGCCCGCCGGAGGAAACCAAACUCUAUUUACACGACGUCUCUUCUGAGUGGCACAAGCAAAUAAUUAAAACUUUUAACAACGGAUCUCUUGGUUCUGGCAUCGAUGAAGAACGCAGCGAAAUGCGAUAAGUAAUGUGAAUUGCAGAAUUCAGUGAAUCAUCGAAUCUUUGAACGCACAUUGCGCUCGCCAGCAUUCUGGCGAGCAUGCCUGUUCGAGCGUCAUUUCAACCCUCAAGCACCGCUUGGUUUUGGGGCCCCACGGCACACGUGGGCCCUUAAAGGUAGUGGCGGACCCUCCCGGAGCCUCCUUUGCGUAGUAACUAACGUCUCGCACUGGGAUUCGGAGGGACUCUUGCCGUAAAACCCCCCAAUUUUUUACAGGUUGACCUCGGAUCAGGUAGGAAUACCCGCUGAACUUAAGCAUAUCAAUAAGCGGAGGA